AGAGCGGAGGAGCCUAGGUGUCUCCAGCGGAGGUUUCCACAGCGGUUGCGGGAAUGUGGUGGGGAGGGUCCGUGAGGGGAGUUCGUGAGGAGCAUAGUCUGAAAUGUGCCUACGCUCUGGUAGGACUGGCCUCAGUACUCCAUCUGCCUGCUGCCCCYAGGCCACCAAUGCUGUAGAAGGCCUCUUAUAGUUACCCUGGCGUUGGGAAGGACUUGCUGCC